rnacentral:rRNA from 1 species
GACGAGGGAUCCUAGCGUUGUUCGGAAUCAUUGGGCGUAAAGCGGAUGUAGGUGGCUUUGUAAGUCGGGUGUGAAAGCCCAGGGCUCAACCCUGGAAGUGCAUUCGAUACUGCGAAGCUUGAAUGUCGGAGAGGUUACUAGAAUACCUGGUGUAGUGGUGAAAUACGUAGAUAUCAGGUGGAAUACCGGAGGCGAAGGCGGGUAACCAGCCGAACAUUGACACUCAGAUCCGAAAGUGUGGGGAUCAAACAGG